GAUGAACGCUAGCGACAGGCUUAACACAUGCAAGUCGAGGGGCAGCAUGAUUUGUAGCAAUACAGAUUGAUGGCGACCGGCGCACGGGUGAGUAACGCGUAUGCAACUUACCUAUCAGAGGGGAUAGCCCGGCGAAAGUCGGAUUAAUACCCCAUAAAACAGGGGUCCCGCAUGGGAAUAUUUGUUAAAGAUUCAUCGCUGAUAGAUAGGCAUGCGUUCCAUUAGGCAGUUGGCGGGGUAACGGCCCACCAAACCGACGAUGGAUAGGGGUUCUGAGAGGAAGGUCCCCCACAUUGGUACUGAGACACGGACCAAACUCCUACGGGAGGCAGCAGUGAGGAAUAUUGGUCAAUGGCCGAGAGGCUGAACCAGCCAAGUCGCGUGAAGGAAGAAGGAUCUAUGGUUUGUAAACUUCUUUUAUAGGGGAAUAAAGUGGAGGACGUGUCCUUUUUUGUAUGUACCCUAUGAAUAAGCAUCGGCUAACUCCGUG
rnacentral:rRNA from 1 species